rfam:Apaloderma vittatum contig15560, whole genome shotgun sequence.
GGCCGGUUAGCUCAGUGGUUUGAGCGCGGUGCUGGGAACAAGGACCAACACUGAGGUCGCGGGUUCGAUUCUUGCUCGGUCC